GUUAUCACCGCACCUGGCCGCCUCACCUGGUCGCCUUUUGUUAGCUGGGUCGUGCAGCUCGCCGUUGUUUGGCAGUUCCGGGUCUUCCUUCUCCCGUAUCGGCCCCAAUUGUAGGGCAUGCGAGUGUUUUCCUCCUCUGCCGGUUGCAGCGGGGAGCGAUCAGCUGAUCGAUCGAGUUGCACGUAAUUGUGCUGCUCGAUGCAAGCGAUCUCCUUCCUCCCCUUUGAUGUUCAUUCAACUCCUGACGGGUUGACGUGUGUGUGGGCGGUUUCUGCCAGCACGUUUUUCCCCCCCCUCUUCACGCUGCUGUUGGCCGGCUGCUGUUUUGCCCACUGGCUUAUAUAGCCAACACAUCCAUCCUACUCUGCAUCUCCUACUGUGCUGUACCUACCACCGAGUAUGGUGACUGCUGCCUCAUCCUCAGUCUCAUCUUAAUCUAUUCAGUUAACCGACUUCUAACUGAUCUUAUUGAUGAUAUUAUUUGUGUUUUGUGGUUUGCUUUGCAUGUUUUUGGUUUAAUUCGUUU